rnacentral:rRNA from 1 species
UAGCUGGUUCUCCCCGAAAGCUAUUUAGGUAGCGCCUCGUGAACUCAUCUCCGGGGGUAGAGCACUGUUUCGGCAAGGGGGUCAUCCCGACUUACCAACCCGAUGCAAACUGCGAAUACCGGAGAAUGUUAUCACGGGAGACACACGGCGGGUGCUAACGUCCGUCGUGAAGAGGGAAACAACCCAGACCGCCAGCUAAGGUCCCAAAGUCAUGGUUAAGUGGGAAACGAUGUGGGAAGGCCCAGACAGCCAGGAUGUUGGCUUAGAAGCAGCCAUCAUUUAAAGAAAGCGUAAUAGCUCACUGGUCGAGUCGGCCUGCGCGGAAGAUGUAACGGGGCUAAACCAUGCACCGAAGCUGCGGCAGCGACGCUUAUGCGUUGUUGGGUAGGGGAGCGUUCUGUAAGCCUGCGAAGGUGUACUGUGAGGUAUGCUGGAGGUAUCAGAAGUGCGAAUGCUGACAUAAGUAACGAUAAAGCGGGUGAAAAGCCCGCUCGCCGGAAGACCAAGGGUUCCUGUCCAACGUUAAUCGGGGCAGGGUGAGUCGACCCCUAAGGCGAGGCCGAAAGGCGUAGUCGAUGGGAAACAGGUUAAUAUUCCUGUACUUGGUGUUACUGCGAAGGGGGGACGGAGAAGGCUAUGUUGGCCGGGCGACGGUUGUCCCGGUUUAAGCGUGUAGGCUGGUUUUCCAGGCAAAUCCGGAAAAUCAAGGCUGAGGCGUGAUGACGAGGCACUACGGUGCUGAAGCAACAAAUGCCCUGCUUCCAGGAAAAGCCUCUAAGCAUCAGGUAACAUCAAAUCGUACCCCAAACCGACACAGGUGGUCAGGUAGAGAAUACCAAGGCGCUUGAGAGAACUCGGGUGAAGGAACUAGGCAAAAUGGUGCCGUAACUUCGGGAGAAGGCACGCUGAUAUGUAGGUGAAGUCCCUCGCGGAUGGAGCUGAAAUCAGUCGAAGAUACCAGCUGGCUGCAACUGUUUAUUAAAAACACAGCACUGUGCAAACACGAAAGUGGACGUAUACGGUGUGACGCCUGCCCGGUGCCGGAAGGUUAAUUGAUGGGGUUAGCGGUAACGCGAAGCUCUUGAUCGAAGCCCCGGUAAACGGCGGCCGUAACUAUAACGGUCCUAAGGUAGCGAAAUUCCUUGUCGGGUAAGUUCCGACCUGCACGAAUGGCGUAAUGAUGGCCAGGCUGUCUCCACCCGAGACUCAGUGAAAUUGAACUCGCUGUGAAGAUGCAGUGUACCCGCGGCAAGACGGAAAGACCCCGUGAACCUUUACUAUAGCUUGACACUGAACAUUGAGCCUUGAUGUGUAGGAUAGGUGGGAGGCUUUGAAGUGUGGACGCCAGUCUGCAUGGAGCCGACCUUGAAAUACCACCCUUUAAUGUUU